rnacentral:lncRNA from 1 species
CCGGGCGUACACUUGAAUUUGGUAAAAAGAAAUCAUUUUCAUCUAAAUAUGAGUAAAAGAAUUGGUUAACAGUACAUCAACCUUCUAGGUCUUUCUUCAGUGGCUUGUAAUUUCGAAUAAAAAUGACAAAAUUGGUGUUAUAUUUAUAUAUUUGUUUAUUUUCUGUCAAAGUCUAAAUCUACCCUGAAUUCUAGACUCGCUUUCCUUUUUUAAAGCAAUUCCUUAUGUACUUAGAUUCGAAAUGUGGUUUGCAUUUGUUUUUUAUUAUAUCUGUGUAGAUGUAGGUUCAGUAUGUGGGUAAAGUUUUAAGAUAUCAAUAACUUUGUCAAACCUUCGUAUGAUUUUUACGAUAGCUGGACAAAAACUGUUUAUGGUCAAAAGAGUUACCAACGCACCAUGACGAAAUUAUAUAUGAUGAAUUUCCCCGUAAUUAAUGGAUUUUUAAAAGGAAUUUCUUGAAGUAUUUAC